AGAGUUUGAUCCUGGCUCAGAUUGAACGCUGGCGGCAGGCCUAACACAUGCAAGUCGAACGGUAGCACAGAGGAGCUUGCUCCUUGGGUGACGAGUGGCGGACGGGUGAGUAAUGUCUGGGAAACUGCCCGAUGGAGGGGGAUAACUACUGGAAACGGUAGCUAAUACCGCAUAACGUCGCAAGACCAAAGAGGGGGACCUUCGGGCCUCUUGCCAUCGGAUGUGCCCAGAUGGGAUUAGCUAGUAGGUGGGGUAACGGCUCACCUAGGCGACGAUCCCUAGCUGGUCUGAGGGGAUGACCAGCCACACUGGAACUGAGACACGGUCCAGACUCCUACGGGAGGCAGCAGUGGGGAAUAUUGCACAAUGGGCGCAAGCCUGAUGCAGCCAUGCCGCGUGUAUGAAGAAGGCCUUCGGGUUGUAAAGUACUUUCAGCGAGGAGGAAGGCGUUGUGGUUAAUAACCGCAGCGAUUGACGUUACUCGCAGAAGAAGCACCGGCUAACUCCGUGCCAGCAGCCGCGGUAAAAGGG
rnacentral:rRNA from 1 species